rnacentral:rRNA from 1 species
GAUUAACGCUGGCGGCGUGCAUAACACAUGCAAGUCGAACGAAGUGGCGGACGGGUGAGUAGCGCGUGAGUAACCUGCCUUAGAGAAGGGGAUAGCCUUUGGAAACGCAGAAUAAUACCCUAAGCUCUAAGAUGGGGUUGCGUCUGAUUCGUUAGUUGGUGGGGUAACGGCCUACCAAGACAGCGAUCAGUAGCCGGCUUGAGAGAGGGUACUGCAACAUUGGGACUGGGACACGGCCCAGACUCGACGGGAGGCAGCAGUGGGGAAUUUUGCACCAUGGGGGAAUCCCGGAGGCAGUGACGCCGCGUGAUUUAGAAGGCCGUCGGGUUGUAAAAAUCUUUUCUAUGGGAAGCGGUACCAUAGGAAUAAGGACCGGCUAAUUACGUGCCAGCAGCCGCGGUAAUUC